AGUGAACGCUGGCGGCAUGCCUAACACAUGCAAGUCGAACGGUAACGGGCCCGCAAGGGUGCCGACGAGUGGCGGACGGGUGAGGAAUACAUCGGAAUCUGCCCGGUUGUGGGGGAUAACGUAGGGAAACUUACGCUAAUACCGCAUACGACCGAGAGGUGAAAGCGGGGGAUCGCAAGACCUCGCGCGAUCGGAUGAGCCGAUGUCGGAUUAGCUAGUUGGCGGGGUAAGAGCCCACCAAGGCGACGAUCCGUAGCUGGUCUGAGAGGAUGAUCAGCCACACUGGGACUGAGACACGGCCCAGACUCCUACGGGAGGCAGCAGUGGGGAAUAUUGGACAAUGGGGGCAACCCUGAUCCAGCAAUGCCGCGUGUGUGAAGAAGGCCUUCGGGUUGUAAAGCACUUUUAUCCGGAACGAAACGCGCUCGGUGAACAGCCGGGUGAACUGACGGUACCGGAGGAAUAAGCACCGGCUAACUUCGUGCCAGCCGCCGCGGUAAGAC
rnacentral:rRNA from 1 species